rnacentral:misc_RNA from 1 species
GGUGUGCCUUUUAUAAAGUUAAUCUGUCAUUAUAAGGUGGAGAAAAAAAAACACUUCUGGUUUAGUUUGGAUAAUAAAAUGAAUAGAGAACAAUUAUAGAAUAAUCUAGUACAUUCAAUUUAAUUCAUAUAUGAUCAGAUUCUCAAAUGGGCAUUUUCAGAUUGGUCAAAUUGAGUUGGUAGUAUGAGUGCAGCAAGUCCUCCUUGAG